UCUGGUUGAUCCUGCCAGAGGUUACUGCUAUCGAGGUUCGACUAAGCCAUGCGAGUCGAAUGUAGCAAUACAUGGCGUACUGCUCAGUAACACGUGGACAACCUACCCUUAGGUCGGGGAUAAACCCGGGAAACUGGGUAUAAUACCCGAUAGAUCUCGACUGCUGGAAUGCAUCGAGAUCGAAAGCUCCGGCGCCUAAGGAUGGGUCUGCGGCCUAUCAGGUAGUAGUGGGUGUAGCGUACCUACUAGCCUACGACGGGUACGGGUUGUGAGAGCAGGAGCCCGGAGAUGGAUUCUGAGACACGAAUCCAGGCCCUACGGGGUGCAGCAGGCGCGAAAACUUUACAAUGCUGGAAACAGCGAUAAGGGGACCUCGAGUGCCAGGUUACAAAUCUGGCUGUCGUGAUGCCUAAAAAGCAUUGCAUAGCAAGGGCCGGGCAAGACCGGUGCCAGCCGCCGCGGUAACACCGGCGGCUCGAGUGGUAACCGUUAUUAUUGGGUCUAAAGGGUCUGUAGCCGGCCGGAUAAGUCUCUUGGGAAAUCCAGCAGCUCAACUGUUGGGCUUUCAGGAGAUACUGUCUGGCUCGAGGCCGGGAGAGGUGAGAGGUACUUCAGGGGUAGGGGUGAAAUCUUGUAAUCCUUGAAGGACCACCAGUGGCGAAGGCGUCUCACCAGAACGGACCUGACGGCAAGGGACGAAAGCUAGGGGCACGAACCGGAUUAGAUACCCGGGUAGUCCUAGCCGUAAACGAUACUCGCUAGGUGUCGGCCACGGUGCGACCGUUGUCGGUGCCGUAGGGAAGCCGUGAAGCGAGCCACCUGGGAAGUACGGCCGCAAGGCUGAAACUUAAAGGAAUUGGCGGGGGAGCACCACAACGGGUGGAGCUUGCGGUUUAAUUGGAUCAACGCCGGAAACCUUACCGGGACCGACAGCAAUAUGAAGGCCAAGCUGAAGACUUUGCCGGAUUAGCUGAGAGGUGGUGCAUGGCCGUCGUCAGUUCGUACUGUGAAGCAUCCUGUUAAGUCAGGCAAGGAGCGAGACCCACGCCCACAGUUGCCAGCGUACUCUCCGGAGUGACGGGUACACUGUGGGGACCGCCGCUGCUAAAGCGGAGGAAGGAAUGGGCAACGGUAGGUCAGUAUGCCCCGAAUAUCCCGGGCUACACGCGAGCUACAAUGGUUGGUACAAUGGGUAUCUACCCCGAAAGGGG
rnacentral:rRNA from 1 species